CAGACUUUAAAAAAUAACAAAAUUUGACAAUUUACAAUAAACAAAGAGUCCGGAUAUUUCUAUGUAUGUGUUGUGUCAAAUAUAUGAUGAUGAUAUACACCAACCUGGAGUGCGGCAAGGAUUGCGCGCCAUCGGUGGGUGGACAGGCCGGAUGCGUCAGCGUGUGGCGUCGCAUGGAGGCGCGUCGCGACGGACACUGCGUCGCCAGGUCGUAUGCUAUAAACAUAACAUUUACUGCAAUUAAAUAUAACUAGAUGACCGAGCGUUGUUCGGUUUUUUUUGUUGAUAAAACGUGUUUUUUUUUUUGAAAUUAUAUUUAAUUAUGAAUUACAUAGGUUAUUUGUUAUUAUAUUA